rnacentral:lncRNA from 12 species
UGCUUGCGACUUAGGCCGUGGGCGAUGAGGGCCUGCAGUCCUCUGAUGACACAGUAUUUCUUCCUCCCGGGACCACUUCGACUACAAGCACCCGGACGCACACACAAACUCCCAAUACAUGUCAGAUGGCAGCGACCUAUCAGGUGGUGUGCGAGGCCCUGACGAGCAAGUGGGUGGACAGGUUGGUGGUCUGUUGGUGAAGAGAGACAAGAGACCAGUCAUCAAAAAGUAAAUGAGAGUCAGAGACGACGACGAUGGUUAUGGAGAAAACACAGGCUGAUGUGAUGAGGAGCAGGAGGAAAGGCCAAGUUAAGGUGCCUGUUGCCUGGAAACUCCCUGUGAAUUUGCUGGUGACCUCACUCAUCAACCUUUGGGAUAGCAGUCUGUGUUCUGCUCUCUGCUUUUUGAUAAGAGGUACUUGCAGAUCUGAGCUUGGCCCAUAAGGAGGCUUCACAGGCAAAAGGUAAGUUUUUGGAAUUGGCACUUCUGACAAGGCUUUCAUGGUGCAAACAUUAAAAGCCCUUGUGUAAGCAAAGAAGAAAGAUCUCAGGUAGCUGGGAACUUUUGCCGUCUUCCAUAACCCACCCGUGGAAGACUGACCAUGGACUCAAGUCAUAGACUAAGAAUGAGAGUAGUAUUGUAGAGUUAUAUUGCUUAGUUUUUGUAUGUCCAAGUACAUAUGGAUGUUUUAAAACAUAUUUAUUUCUUCUGAGGAUUCUGAGGCUUUGUUCUGAAUUUGACAGAGAAGAGCAACUAUUACUUCAGUGAAUAUAAUUCGUAGAUAAUUUGUAAAAUGAGAGAAAGAAAUUAUUAUUGGAAGUCUAUUCCUUCAUAGUUAGCUAUUUUAAGAGUUUUUAUCAGGGCACCUGAGUGGCUCAGUGGUUGAGCGUGUGCCUUUGGUUCAGGGCAUGACCCCAGGGUCCCGGGAUCGAGUACCGCAUCGGGCUUCCCACAGAGAGCCUGCUUCUCCCUCUGCCUCUGUCUCUGCCUCUCUCUGUCUCUCACGAAUGAAUAAAAUAAAAUCUUUAAAAAAAAUUUUUUUUCCU